UACGGGGGGGGUAAGCGUUGUUCGGAAUUACUGGGCGUAAAGGCGCGUAGGCGGCCUGCUAAGUCGAACGUGAAAUCCCUGGGCUCAACCCAGGAACUGCGUCCGAUACUGGUUGGCUUGAAUCCGGGAGAGGGAUGUGGAAUUCCAGGUGUAGCGGUGAAAUGCGUAGAUAUCUGGAGGAACACCGGUGGCGAAGGCGGACAUCCUGGACCGGUAUUGACGCUGAGGGCGCGAAAGCCAGGGGAGCAAACGGG
rnacentral:rRNA from 1 species